GUGCUCAUGUCACCAGCACAUAUACUAAAACUGGAACAAAUCAGAGAAUUAGCAUGGACUGUGCAAAAGGAUGACAAACACAUUUGUGAAACAUUCCAUAUUUCU